UACGGAGGGUGCGAGCGUUGUCCGGAAUCAUUGGGCGUAAAGGGCGCGUAGGCGGCCUCGCAUGUCGAAUGUGAAAGCCCACCUCUUAAAGGUGGAAUUGCAUUCGAAACUGCAAGGCUGGAGUGCCGGAGAGGGUGGUGGAAUUCCUGGUGUAGAGGUGAAAUUCGUAGAUAUCAGGAGGGAACACCGGUGGCGAAGGCGGCCACCUGGGACGGUAACUGACGCUGAGGCGCGAAAGCGUGGGGAGGCAAACAG
rnacentral:rRNA from 1 species